AGAAUUGUAAGCCUCAUAGAAAAAUAUGUACCAUAGUUUUGUUAUGUUUUGAGCACUAGGACACCAAUUUUAGGAAUUCUGGAGACCCGUGGGGCGCCACAGGGGUGGAUUGAUAGGCAAUUGAGCUCUUUGUCUACACAGACAUAAUGAUGCGUAGGAAGGGGAGGGGCAGACACCUGCUCACUGUCUUGUUCUCUUUCCCUGUGCCUGGCACAGUGGGUGCACGCAGCAUUGUCCAUGCACCAUCUCACUGGACGACAGCAGUGAGCCUGCAGAGCGAAACUGCUCUUCUCACUCAGAUGAAGUCCCAGAACCAGGGAAGUGAAGCAAGGACACAGAAGUGGGAAGCGGCAGAGCCGGGGUUGGGAUGAGGAGUGUCAGGCUCUGAAGCCUUUUCUGCUUUUGCUUUCCAGACCCCUAAAACCACCCCUGCUACGCUGACAGAGAGCGAUUUUUUAACCCGCCUAAUGCAGAUGCAUUCCACCUUCGUAGGGAAAGUUGCUGUGAAGAUGACUCACUGGUCACCCACUGCACACAGGGAGGAAGCAAGGUGGCAGCUGCUCCUUUCCUGCUGACUUUCUCAAGGCAUCUGUCUUCCUCUGUCCCCGCAUCUGACGCCAGCCACGCCAGCCAGAGCCCUUCUCAAACCGCCCCUCCAUGCAGCCCUCAGUUUCACAGGCUUCAGCUCCCCACUUAGCUGCUCCUUGUCUUGUAACUAGCGUGCUCCACGCUGCUUGGAGGGAUCCCUGACCGAGAGCUGUGCCUGUGCUGAUGCUCUUCAUUCUCUGUGGCUCUAGAUCCAUGCCAAAAAGGAUUCUCUCAAAACCAGAGGUUCCAGGAAGGACAUGAAAGCUGUCACACUGCACAUUUACACCGUGGUUUAUGGUUUUGAACGAGCUUUCUCCUGCCUUCAUCAGGAUAGCCAGGAAGCUCUGCAAGGAAGAUGCUCUCACCCUGGCUUUAUGGGAGAUAAAUGAAGCACGGAGCAUCUACGUGGUUUAUCCACAUAAGAUCACAAAGAUACAAGUAGGAACUGAAGUGAGGCGAGGAGCAAGCAGAAGGUUAGUGCAGAUUAAGUCACUUGCUCAAGGCCAAGCAGCAGACAAGCUGCAGAGCCUGACUCCAGAGUCUGGGUGUUUAACUGAGGCACGUAGCUGAGAGGACUUUGAUGCAGUUGCUGAUGGGAAACAAGAAAACAACUGCACUUUUGCGUGAUAAGAAGGAGGAAGAAAACAAAAGGUACGGCAGUGACUGACCAUCACCAUUUAGCUCUUGGUCUGGGCUGUGAAAAUGGGGUCAGAUGAGGAAAAAAGCAAAGUCCCACAGUAAGAUGGGAACAAGGAGGAACAUUCGCGAGAUCACCGAGGCUUCCUGUUGCAACGUUAAAUUUACUUUUCUGUGGCCCUAUCUGCCCUGUUGAGUUAGAGCUUCACUGCCCACCGUGACGUAAAGAAGUCAAGCAUCACGAUGUCCACUUGCGAGAAGAAGAAACAAGGUCGUGCGGAGAGGCCCUGAGACCCGCCUGGGGUUUCGGGUUUCUCAGCUGGCUUCUGCAGCUCCUGUCUGGCCUCCAGCCCAAGCCUCGCCACUGGUCAUGGUUUUUACAGGGUAAAAAAGCUUACUUUGGACUCCAUUUUAGAUGAAGUAGAUGCAUAAAUUAGAAAAGGUUUGGAUGAGCCCGUUUCUUUUAAAGUGUUCUUCAAGCAUAAACCAAAGUUGGAACAUGGACGUGGCUCCUUGUGUUCCAGUUCUGCUGUUUACCCAAGAUAUUAUUGAACAUUUUCAAGGCUCAGUUUUCUGACCUAUAAAACUGACAUGUUAAUACAUAGUUCACAGAUCUGCUGUGAGGAUUGCUGAUACUUACUGCUAUGAAAACUAAAGUUUUAGACAAACAGAGGUUAUUAUUUUUACUUUUACAAUACUGAUUUCUGUAGAUGGGGUCACAGGACAGUUUUUAUGCACCGGCUCCCUCAGCUACUGAAAAUAUUUAUUCACUUGCUCAUUUAUUCAUCCAACAAACAUUUAUCAAGUGCAAAUUAUAUGCUGUUAGUCUAGAAGGAUGGAGAGCAUGGGAAAGAAUCAGAUGCAGUCCCCUCUGUGAUAUAGUUAUAUUCAUUUGAGGGAAGAUAAACCUAAAUUAGUAGAUGAAUAGUUUUAAACUGUGAAAAGGGAGGGAAUCAGACACAGGGAUGUAGUGAUUAUGCAAGGGUUAUUUCCUCUAGAAAGAAUGGUCAGAGCAGUGAAAGCCAGUUGCAUUUUUCUGCACCUUAUGAGAUUUCCUGCAUCUUCCUGCAGGUUCUGGGCUAUUCCUGCAACACUCUGUAGAAUAAAUUCUCACAGCAGAACAGUUGCAAUGAUAUAAAGAGUGCAGUUCUGUUUCCUGCCUAACAUUCUCUAACCAGACAGCACGUAACACUUUGUUUUGAUGAGUGUGUGGAAUUUGGGGGCGGUGGGGGCAGUGGAGCUCAGAUAAAGCAAGCUGACACGGUCUAUUGUAAACUGAUUUCUCUCCCCAUCAUCACAUCACUUGUACCAUUCCUGUGCGCACAGAGUUUGAGAAGCUGGGACCAUUUCAUGAAUGCUCACUUGAGUUCUUGUGAGUGUCUCUUGAGCAGGCUUCUGAACUGAAUUCCAGGUCAUCCUUUCUGAGCAGGAAGCUGGGACCCUGGCGGUUAUUUGGUGAUGGGGAGCAGGGAUGUAGCUCAGUUGCAGAGCAUUUGGCCAAGCUGCACGGAAAUCUGGCUUUAGUUCCCAGCGCCAUUAAAAUACUGGUGUGGGAAUGGAAGGAAGAGCCUCUUUACGAGUUUGCUCUUUUACUGUGCAGAAGCAGGCAUCUCUAUUGCAGCUCUCAGCUCCAGUGGAUGAGACCUGGUGCCCCCGUGCACGCUCAGGAUUGCUGCUCAGCUCCCCGGUGCAAAAGCUUGACUCGGUCAGCUGAACAUUUCCUGCCUGCUGCGGGCGGGUUACAUGGCCUUGUUUACCCUCAGUGGUCAGGUAGGGUGUACAAGGGGCUGUAGUUGAUAUUCAAAGGACUUUUUACUUUUUUGCUUUUGUUUUCAUUUUUUCCCAAUCAGUCAAUAUUUUAUCCAACAUUGACCAAAUACAGGAAGAUGGUCCUAAGAACUAGGGAGGAAGGUGGACUGUAAAGUUAGGUCCCAGUUUCUCUCCGGGUUGAAACAACUCCCUCCUAGAUGUAAGUUUAUUAAAAAUAAGAGCACUUAUACACAGGGAGUUGUUCCAAGGACUUUCUACAUGUUGACUCAUUUCAUCUUCAAAGCAGCAGCAGGAGACAGGCACCAGUCAUUCAGGACACUGCCUUACACAGGAGCAAACUAAGGUGUGGAGAGAUUAAAGUAAUUAGCUCAGGAUUAUGCAGCCCAUAAAUGGCAGAACCAGAAUUUAACCCAAGCGGUGUGGCCCUGAAGUCCAUGCUCUGAAUUAUUAGGCUACGGUUUUCCUUUCCAUUCCACUGAGGAGCCGGGGAUCGGGAGAGGAAAGAAGUUUACUACUUACUGAUUGAAUCCUGGUCCUGACUCGGUUCCAAAAUACAUCAUCUCAGUUAGGCUUCAAAACAGGACAUUAAUCCAAUUUUGUAGACUGCAAAAUUGGGACUCAAAGAGAUGAAGUAACUUGCGUGAGGUCACACAGAUGGCAGUUUAGAGUUAGGGUCCACACUCAGAUCCGAUUGGUUGUGGAGCCUGUGUGUUUCUCCUCCUCUACACCAUAAGGCAGCUGAGAACAGCAGCCCCGAAUUAGACCCGCCCGGCUUCUAGAAGCAUCGCGUAUGUUAAGCGGGGCCAGGUCGCCUUGUGGUGACACAUUCUGCUUUGCGUCCCUGCCAAGUGACACUGGGCAGCCGGGGCAGCCGGGGCCCGGGACACGGGCAGACAGGCCCGGGGAGGAGGCUGCUCGGGCUCCCUCGGCCUCACUCUUCUUGUUCGGAAACUGGAGACGCAGAUAAUCGUGAGCCUGCCCUGGUGGCCUGCGGCAGAGAUCUAACAACAUUCGCAUAGCAGAGGUUGGAAGACUGAAGUUCUGUGGAGGAGACACAGAGCAGCAUGGCGCUUGGCGAUGGGACCCCGGUGAGCAAGGAUGAGCACCCGGCAGAGCCCAGGGCUACCGCAGUGACCCUUCCGCAGGACCUGGGCUGGACUCCGCCCCAAAUCCGGGAGUUCUCUGUCCAUGCUGUCCCUUGGCCCUUCAGCUGUGGGGCUACUUAGCAGAGCAAAGUUCCCCUAUCUGUGUACCUCCAUCCUUCCCUCCUUCCCUCCCUCCCUCCGUCUUCUCUCCCUCCCUCCUUCCUUCCCUCUAUCCAUCCCCUUUUUCAUUAUGAAUUGAACAUCUCCCAGUUACAGAACCAAAAAUAAUGGGCCCUCUGUAAUUCUAAUGGGAGAGACAGGCUUCUCUCUCUCUCUCUCUCUCUCUCUCUCUCUCUCUCUCUCUCUCUGUGUGUGUGUGUGUGUGUGUGUGUGUGUGUGUGUGUCCACAUGCAAACACCACCAGUGAGUACUUCACAGGCAUUUUCUGAACUUAGCCAUAUAGAAACUAAGAAUGAAAGGACUACUCUUCCAUUGUACAGAUGAGGAAACUGAGGGUCAGAAACGUUAAAUAACUUGUCUAAGCCCAAUAAUUAGAAAACAUGAGCCUCAGGGGACAGAGCUCAGCAGCACAGAGCCUACAAACAUAGGGUCAUGAGUUCAAUUCCAUAGAAAAUACGGAGCUAAGAUAUAUUUUAAUUAUAACUGCAAAACCCAAAUUUCAUCCUAAUGAUUGUAUUAAACCAUUUAAUAAAAUGGCUUUGGACUUUC